CAAAUCUUAGCGGUGGAUCACUCGGUUCGUGGAUCGAUGAAGAACGCAGCUAGCUGCGAUAAAUAGUGCGAAUUGCAGACACAUUGAGCACUAAAAUUUCGAACGCACAUUGCGCCAUCGGGUUCAUUCCCGUUGGCACGUCUGGCUGAGGGUCAGU
rnacentral:rRNA from 2 species